rnacentral:tRNA from 1 species
GGCGGCAUAGCUCAGUUGGUUAGAGCACUGGAAUCAUAAUCCAGGUGUCCGGGGUCCGAGUCCCUGUGCCGCUACCA